UGUGUUGAGUCUGAGGAGUUCGAUGAAAAAUAUUUAAAUUCAGUUUUUAGUCUUCCAUUCCAAAUUCAAUGCCAUUUGUGGGAAUCCUGGCUGAGCAGCGGCGCUUUAAGAAAUAUUAAGUGCGCGUGUUUUGCAGUUACGUAAAACACGUCUGCUCGGUUAUGUCAGAGAAGAAGCUAAUUUUCACACUUCACACCAUUCAAUCAACAACCAUUCGGACUCAUUGAACUACUUUGUCACUCAUCAUCGAACAUUGAAUCGCCAAAAAAUAACGUUGGAAGACCUCAAACGCAGUCUCGGCCAUUGGACAAAAUUGUGAUUUUUCAUAGUUUAGGUUCAACGAAUAAAAAAAUACAAUAGACAAUA